rnacentral:rRNA from 1 species
AUACGGAGGGUGCAAGCGUUGUUCGGAAUCACUGGGCGUAAAGGGCGCGCAGGCGGUUUGGUAAGUCAGAUGUGAAAGCCCACGGCUCAACCGUGGAAGUGCAUUUGAAACUGCCGGACUUGAGUACCAGAGGGGAAAGUGGAAUUCCCGGUGUAGAGGUGAAAUUCGUAGAUAUCGGGAGGAAUACCGGUGGCGAAGGCGACUUUCUGGCUGGAUACUGACGCUGAGGCGCGAAAGCGUGGGGAGCAAACAGGAUUAGAUACCCCAGUAGUCC